rnacentral:rRNA from 1 species
UACGUAGGGUGCGAGCGUUAAUCGAAAUUACUGGGCGUAAAGCGUGCGCAGGCGGUUUUGUAAGCCAGAUGUGAAAGCCCCGGGCUCAACCUGGGAAUGGCAUUUGGGACUGCAAGGCUUGAGUGCGGCAGAGGAGACUGGAAUUCCUGGUGUAGCAGUGAAAUGCGUAGAUAUCAGGAGGAAUACCGAUGGCGAAGGCAGGUCUCUGGGCUGACACUGACGCUCAUGCACGAAAGCGUGGGGAGCAAACAGG